UACGGAGGGGGCAAGCGUUAUUCGGAAUCAUUGGGCGUAAAGGGCGCGUAGGCGGCUCGGCAAGUCUGAUGUGAAAUCUCCACAGCUCACCUGGGAGAGGUCAUUGGAAACUGCUGAGCUUGAGGUCCGGAGAGGCCGAUGGAAUUCCCGGUGUAGCGGUGGAAUGCGUAGAUAUCGGGAAGAACACCAGUGGCGAAGGCGGUCGGCUGGACGGCACCUGACGCUGAGGCGCGAAAGUGUGGGGAGCAAACGGG
rnacentral:rRNA from 1 species